CUUCAGUGUAGCGCUGAUCUAGCACGACGUGAUCCAUCCCGCCCUCCUGGGUGGGGGUUGAAAGCUCCGGCGGUGGAGGAUGAGCCCGCGGCCUAUCAGCUGGUUGGUGAGGUAACGGCUCACCAAGGCGACGACGGGUAGCCGGCCUGAGAGGGCGACCGGCCACACUGGGACUGAGACACGGCCCAGACUCCUACGGGAGGCAGCAGUGGGGAAUAUUGCACAAUGGGCGCAAGCCUGAUGCAGCGACGCCGCGUGGGGGAUGACGGCCUUCGGGUUGUAAACCUCUUUCAGCAGGGAAGAAGCCCUAGGGUGACGGUACCUGCAGAAGAAGCGCCGGCUAACUACGUGCCAGCAGCCGCGGUAAUACGUAGGGCGCAAGCGUUGUCCGGAAUUAUUGGGCGUAAAGAGCUCGUAGGCGGCUUGUCACGUCGGGUGUGAAAGCCCGGGGCUUAACCCCGGGUCUGCAUUCGAUACGGGCUGGCUGGAGUGUGGUAGGGGAGAUCGGAAUUCCUGGUGUAGCGGUGAAAUGCGCAGAUAUCAGGAGGAACACCGGUGGCGAAGGCGGAUCUCUGGGCCAUUACUGACGCUGAGGAGCGAAAGCGUGGGGAGCGAACAGGAUUAGAUACCCUGGUAGUCCACGCCGUAAACGGUGGGAACGUCGUCGGUGCCGCAGCUAAUGUCGGUCGCGCAGCUAACGCAUUAAGCUACCGCCUGG
rnacentral:rRNA from 1 species